rnacentral:rRNA from 2 species
AGACCCGAAACCCGGUGAUCUAGCCAUGGGCAGGUUGAAGGUUGGGUAACACUAACUGGAGGACCGAACCGACUAAUGUUGAAAAAUUAGCGGAUGACCUGUGGCUGGGGGUGAAAGGCCAAUCAAACCGGGAGAUAGCUGGUUCUCCCCGAAAGCUAUUUAGGUAGCGCCUCGUGAAUUCAUCUCCGGGGGUAGAGCACUGUUUCGGCUAGGGGGCCAUCCCGGCUUACCAACCCGAUGCAAACUGCGAAUACCGGAGAAUGUUAUCACGGGAGACACACGGCGGGUGCUAACGUCCGUCGUGAAGAGGGAAACAACCCAGACCGCCAGCUAAGGUCCCAAAGUCAUGGUUAAGUGGGAAACGAUGUGGGAAGGCCCAGACAGCCAGGAUGUUGGCUUAGAAGCAGCCAUCAUUUAAAGAAAGCGUAAUAGCUCACUGGUCGAGUCGGCCUGCGCGGAAGAUGUAACGGGGCUAAACCAUGCACCGAAGCUGCGGCAGCGAACGUAUCACUUAAAGCGAUUCAGCGGGUUACGAUUGACGGAGCGAAGCGACGUCAAAG